rnacentral:rRNA from 1 species
GAUGAACGCUGGCGGCGUGCCUAAUACAUGCCAGUCGAGCGAACGGACGAGAAGAUUGCUUCUCUGAUGUUAGCGGCGGACGGGUGAGUAACACGUGGAUAACCUACCUAUAAGACUGGGAUAACUUCGGGAAACCGGAGCUAAUACCGGAUAAUAUUUUGGACCGCAUGGUUCAAAAGUGAAAGACGGUCUUGCUGUCACUUAUAGAUGGAUCCGCGCUGCAUUAGCUAGUUGGUAAGGUAACGGCUUACCAAGGCAACGAUGCAUAGCCGACCUGAGAGGGUGAUCGGCCACACUGGAACUGAGACACGGUCCAGACUCCUACGGGAGGCAGCAGUAGGGAAUCUUCCGCAAUGGGCGAAAGCCUGACGGAGCAACGCCGCGUGAGUGAUGAAGGUCUUCGGAUCGUAAAACUCUGUUAUUAGGGAAGAACAUAUGUGUAAGUAACUGUGCACAUCUUGACGGUACCUAAUCAGAAAGCCACGGCUAACUACGUG